UCCUCGGUAGCUCAAUGGUAGAGCGGGUGGCUGUUAACCACUAGGUUGUAAGUUCGAGUCUUACCCGAGGAGCCA
rnacentral:tRNA from 1 species